rnacentral:rRNA from 1 species
AACUUUCAACAACGGAUCUCUUGGCUCUCGCAUCGAUGAAGGACGCAGCGAAAUGCGAUAAGUAAUGUGAAUUGCANAAUUCAGUGAAUCAUCGAAUCUUUGAACGCACCUUGCACCUUUUGGUAUUCCGAAAGGUAUGCCUGUUUGAGUGUCAU